UCAAUCCUACGGGAGGCAGCAGUGAGGAAUAUUGGUCAAUGGACGAGAGUCUGAACCAGCCAAGUAGCGUGAAGGAUGACUGCCCUAUGGGUUGUAAACUUCUUUUAUAAAGGAAUAAAGUGAGGCACGUGUGCCUUUUUGUAUGUACUUUAUGAAUAAGGAUCGGCUAACUCCGUGCCAGCAGCCGCGGUAAUACGGAGGAUCCGAGCGUUAUCCGGAUUUAUUGGGUUUAAAGGGAGCGUAGAUGGGUUGUUAAGUCAGUUGUGAAAGUUUGCGGCUCAACCGUAAAAUUGCAAUUGAUACUG
rnacentral:rRNA from 1 species